UUUGGUGGAACAUCAAGAAUGUAAAUAAUCUUGCAGAACAAAUGGGGCAUCUUACUCCUGCAGAGAGAACUUGAUAUUGGUUGAUUGUUUUUUCCGGCUUUCGAUACCUCAUUACCCCACAUGUAAUAAUUUAGAAGUGAAGAGUUCAUCUGAGAGGUGCGAACAGCAAUCAAUCAAGAGCGCAUGCAUGUCUCAGCCAUCCAUUCUAUCCUUCACAGAAAUGGCGAUUUCCCUUUCAGAAAUCCACCAGGCCCAUGCUCACAUGCUCAAGACCGGCCAUUUUCACAACACCUUCUCUGCAAACAAGCUCCUUGCUUUUGCUGUCACAACUCCUGAUCCCCAAACACUCACUUAUGCUCACUCCAUUUUCUCUCGCAUCAGCUCCCCAAAUUCCUACACUUUCAACGCCAUUAUCAGAGCUUAUGCCAAUAGCCCCACUCCACAGAAAUCUCUCUCUGUCUUUCAACAAAUGCUUGAUGGUCCUGUUUGUCCUGAUAAGUAUAGUUUUACCUUUGCUUUAAAGGCCUGCGCUGGGUUUGGUGGGAUCGAAGAAGGAAAGCAAAUUCAUGGUCACGUGUUGAAGAUUGGAAUAGGGUGUGACCUGUUUGUUGCAAAUACUUUGAUUCAUGUUUAUGCACAAAGUGGGUUCACUCAGCUUGCCCGUAAUUUACUUGCUCGAAUGCCAGAACGGGAUACUGUUUCAUGGAAUGCGUUGUUGAGCGCUUAUGUGGAGAUGGGUUCAGUUGAGUUGGCACGCCAAGUGUUCGAUGAAAUGGAAGAAAGGAAUGUUGAGUCCUGGAACUUUAUGAUUUCGGGGUAUGCAAGUGCAGGGUUAGUUGAGAAAGCAAGCGAGAUUUUUUAUGCCAUGCCAUUGAAAAAUGUGGUUUCUUGGAAUGCAAUGAUAACUGGUUAUGCACACGCUAGUUGUUUUAGUCAAGUGUUGGAACUCUUUGAACAAAUGCAGAGUGAGGGUGUCAAGCCUGAUAAUUGUACUCUUGUGAAUGUAUUGUCGGCUUGUGCUCGUGUUGGAGCUCUAAGCCAAGGUGAAUGGUUACAUGGUUAUAUCAAGAAGAAUGAGAUCGGCAUUGGUGGUUUCUUAGCUACUGCUCUAAUAGACAUGUAUUCAAAAUGUGGGAACAUUGACAAAGCUCUUCAAGUAUUUAAAACAACACGGGCCAAGGAUGUUAGCACUUGGAAUUCACUUAUCUGUGGUUUAAGCAUUCAUGGAUUCGGAGAAGAUGCAUUACAGGUCUUCAAUGAGAUGCUUGCGGAGGACUUUAAACCGAAUGAAGUUACUUUUAUUAGUAUUCUAUCUGCCUGCAGUCGUACAGGCUUGUUACAUGAAAUGCGCAACCUGUUUGACCUUAUGGUUCGUGUUUAUAGGAUUGAACCAACUGUUGAGCACUAUGGCUGUAUGGUGGAUUUACUUGGACGGGUAGGAUUGUUACAGGAAGCAGAGGAACUUGUGGAAACUAUAUCAAUUGAUGAGGCUUCAGUGGUUUUGGAGUCUCUUUUGGGUGCCUGCAGAAACCAUGGUAAUUUGGAAGUGGCAGAGAGGGUUUCUAGGAGGCUGUUAGAGUUGAAUCCUCAAGAGAGUGCUGGUUAUGUUCAAAUGUCGAACAUUUACACGUCUGUUGGAAGAUGGAAUGAUGCUAUGGAGGUCAGGAGAAGGAUGAGAGCAGAGAGAGUAAAUAAGAAACCUGGCUGUAGCAUUAUUGAAGUGAAUGGCACUAUCCAUGAAUUCUUAGCUGGUGAAGGCAUCAUCUUCGAGCAAAUUUGACUGCAAGUAUAUAUGAGGCCUGACUGAGAUCUAACCAGACUUGCCAGAAUACUUUGAUAAUGAGGUCAUGAUAUUCAUCAGAGUUCAAUGCCAGGUAACAAGCUAGGAGUUCUUCAAGCUCUUGAGAUUUCAAUUUUGGAGGCUGUUCUUGGAGAAAAAAUUCUGACUUUGCUGCUCUGCUUUGUUGUCCUUCUCUGAAAUUCCUUGCUGAUGUUCCGAGCAGCAAAUCCACAAUCUUCAGCAGUUGCAGUUUGGUUGUUCUUCUGUGUAUUCAUGGAAGAGAGAGAGCAACAUCUCCUUGAACUGACUCCUUUUGUCUUCCAUUUCUCACCGUCAAUCGCUGUUGCUGAUGCCUGUUCUGAGAUAUUAUUAUACCUCCUAGCAUUUGAUCCACAAUUCCGGCAACUUGGGGGUGGAACAUCAAGCUCAUCAUCUGACUUGUACCAGACUGAUCUCACUACUUUACUAGUAUUCUCUUCAACACUGUCUACUCCAAAGGAUAAUCUCCAAAAGGCAUCACCAUUCUCACCAUGGAAUCUACCUCUUCCACUUCCAGCAUAAUUUGGUGACUUUGCAGGCACCAAAUUCUGCUUCACGUUUUGGCUCUCAUUUACAGGUUUCGAUUCAGAGUCAAAGCUCAUUUUCUUGAACUUGGAAAGCCAUGAGAAGGUAACACGGGAAAUGGAAGGAAGGCGAGAUGAAGAAGGUUUUCUUCUUCCCGACUUCAUCGUUCCAAACUCUUUCAAACUGUUCUUAUUCCUUUGUUUUCUAUGAGAAUUGUUUGAUUUGUCAAGGUUUUGAAGUUGUGGAGGAGGAGAAGGUUGAGAUUGAUGAUGAGGAGGAAAACUGAAUAGGAUGAUAAUGGAGAGUUCUAGCAGUUAAGAGGGACAGUUAGAGAGUGUUAUAGAAAAAGAGUGGUGGGUAUAUUGCCUGGUCUUUUUCUUUUGUUUUUCAAAAGAAAGGCUUGUUCUAAAUCCUGUGACUGCGUACCAACUUUUUACACUUUAUAGUUUGGUAAUUAGUACUUCAGCCACAAAAGCUUAUAAGCCUCAGUAGGGGGGACCCUGAUGGUCCCCAAAGCUGAUUGAUUUAUGAGCAGAACUCAAUUUAUGAAGGAUAUGGUCUCCAGCUCUGGGAGUUAUACAGAUUUUAAGGACUGCUUGCUUUUGCUGUAAAGUACUUCAGAGGAUGGUUGGAAUUGUUGAAAAAAAAAAGCGUUUAAAACAGUAUGUAUAGCAGCUUUUAUUUAAAGAUGGAGGCAGACUUGGGAGAGUUAAAAGAAGAUUUUAUUUUGGUUUAAAUAAUUAAAGAAGAUUUGUUGGUUUUUACUUCUAGGGUUUGGUUGAUUUGAGAGUUUUUCAGUUACAGUUUAUUUGAAGUUCUUAUGCUUUUUCUAAUUUGAACAAGUCCUCUUGCCUUUUUUUGACCAAAA